rnacentral:rRNA from 1 species
UACGUAGGGGGCAAGCGUUAUCCGGAUUUACUGGGUGUAAAGGGUGCGUAGGUGGUUUCUUAAGUCAGAGGUGAAAGGCUACGGCUCAACCGUAGUAAGCUUUUGGAACUGUAAGACUUGAGUGCAGGAGAGGAGAGUGGAAUUCCUAGUGUAGCGGUGAAAUGCGUAGAUAUUAGGAGGAACACCAGUAGCGAAGGCGGCUCUCUGGACUGUAACUGACGCUGAGGCACGAAAGCGUGGGGAGCAAACAGGAUUAGAUACCCGGGUAGUCCCUGAG